UCUCUCUCUCUCUCUCUCUGUUCUCAGCAACCGCUGCUCACAUGUUGUUCAAGAUCUCUGCUUUUGAUUCGACUGUUUACCUAGAAUCUCAAACUGAAGCUUGAAAGGGGCAAAGAAGCUUGGAAUCAGAUGGAUUGGAAUGUUAACAACGCUUUCAAAACCUACAAAGAAAUGGAACCAAAAGCAAUGAUGGUCACUCCUUCCACACUCUGAUCCCACUGACAUUGCCUUAGGCUCCUCUUCUGAAAACAACGCCAUUGCCAAUACCGUUCCCCCUAAACGCAAGAAGACUAUGACUUCAGUCUUCCUUAAAUACUUCGAGACUGCACCUGACAGCAAGACUCGCAAAUGCAAACUUUGUGGUCAAAGCUACUCCAUUGCAACCGCCACAGGUAAUCCUGGAAGGCAUCUGAAUAACCGACAUCGAGGAUAUGAUAUGGCAUCAGAUGUUGCAACCACCUCAGUACCACAGACACCACAAGUUGCUGCGAAACCCUCACAGUCCCAUUCCAAGCCACCGCAGAUUGAUUAUGAUCAUCUCAACUGACAUGAUCACUCAACACUACUUAUGUUACCCAUGCCACAUGUUAGCUUAAUUUGAAAGAUUGUUUUCUCAAAGGUCUUUUAGUCAGAAUGACUCACGAGUUUGAUCACCACAAGGACAACGAGUGUCUUGAGUGUCUUGAAGAAUGGUCUACUAGGAGGAAGGAGCGAACAGACUUGCAACGGUCUGCUGGUGGUAACCUUGCUACAAGAGACUACACUGCAGGAGUAGGGAAAAUCACAGAGGCUCAUUCAGAUUUUGUGAUGGGAUUCAUCUCGGUUAAUCCUGCGUCUUGGGAAUGGGAGAUGUGUAGCCGUCUAUGAUUCAUGCAACGCCUGGUGUUCAAGUGGUGAAAAAUGGUGAUGCACUUGGUCAACAAUACAACACUCCACACUCUGUGAGUCUCUCGCUCCUGGUGUUCCAUAUUUUGUAAAGACUAUCCCAAAAUGCUAAUACAUCAUAACACCACCUAGCAACGUGUGGAUCAAGACUUACAUCAAAAGGCCUCCUUCAGUGAUUGAAUGGGAAUAAAAGAUUCUGAUCAGUUUGGCUUUUGUUUUUGUGUGUUUAUGGUUGUCUGUAUUCAUGCGUAUUACUAUUACAAGCAGGCUAUAUAGUUUCUGUAAAACCUAUUAUUAUUGAUCUAAAACUUGCUUAAUGUUAACAAAAA